UACCUAGCAUAUGAACAUAAAACAUAAACCGUCUAUAUACAGGGAUUUAGUGAAAUCGUAACGAAAUGUUUGAGCGAUGGUUCAGAUCAUGAUUCUGAGUUGAUAACAAGUAGAAUGUUCCGUCGCAAAAGUAUGGAACUGAAAAAAAAUCACCAAAUUUUUCAUGAACCUUCCGACAGGAAAAUCCACUUGAUAUCAACUCGGAAUCAUGGUCGGAAUUAUCCCCCUCGGUAUUCGUUACGAUGCCACUAACCUGGGGGCCUACCGGCUAAUUCGCCGAACUUCGGCGACUUGAAAACGAUUCAGAUAAAUCGAAGUUCGGCGUUUGGUACCGGGUAAUUUCCGAUGUUCAUUGCAAUCUGGAUGAAAAUCAAUCCAUAGAUAAUAAUAGACAUAUUAGAGGGGUGCAUGAUUGAACGAAUGACUUUUGGUCUUGCGUUUCGUUGAGACAUUUGGUAAACAUUUAAUAUUUUAUAUCAUUAUGAAAUUAAAAAAUACAGACUAAUUUUGUAUGUUAUUUUUAUUAAUUGAUAAUAUUUUUAGUUAAUCACUUUGUAAAGUCUUACAAAUGUUUAAAACAAAAGGAAAAUGCAACGACGGAUUUUUCUUUUGCAACUGAAGUAAUGAAACGCAAAAAAAAAAGAAAAAUGACGUUAUGUUAUAUCAGCUGACAUACUUGAAUUCGCGCCGAAUGCAACAGUUUUAUCUUCUCAGAAUUUAUACAAUAACAACAAUAACGAAAGAAAUGUAAGUAAAUUAUUAAUCUAGUAGUAGUAAGAAACAAGUCAAGAAAGAAUAGUCACAUAAUGAACCUAUUCAUUGUUCAACAACUUAAAUAGUUUGUUGGAAACUUGUAAAUGUAUCUUUUUGUUUUUCUAGAUCACCGAUUUACUACCUAUUAGAUCUAGAGAGUCGGAGGCUAGACAUGGAGGAGCGACUUGUUUCAGCAGUCGACAAGCUGGCUGGCUACAGCUGCUGAAGCUAAUAGCAAGGCCGCGGAUAUGCAAACAGAGUUGCUUCGGCUGCUGCUGGAGGAAGUUAGGUGAAGACCAAUAUAAGGUUAAAGAAUAGCAGCAUGACAAUUCUCAAGAACGAAGACACUAGAGAAACUAAGUUAAAAUACUUAAGUAAAAACAUAUGUAUUCAAUAAACUUGUAUGUAAAUAUUUAAGCUAAAGUAUAAGUACUCCAUUUAUGUUAUUUAAGUGAAGUUGUAUUUAAUUGAAAUACUUAAGUUUGGUCAUGUUAUUUAAGUGAGUUUGUCUAGGGGUAACAUUAAAGUACAUUAAAGACAAAGCAACUAGAUAUCAUUUUUCCAAGAACUAUUUUGAAACAAAAAUAAUAUAGCAUCACGCUUCUAUUCCCGAAGGGGUAGGCAGAGGUGUAUAGUAUAUGUAUACACCCACUCCUAUAUUUAAUUUAAAUACUUAAGUUUGGUCAUGUUAUUUAAGUGAGUUUGUCUAGGGGUAACAUUAAAGACAAAGCAACUAGAUGUCAUUUUACCAAGAACUAUUUUGAAACAAAAAUAAUAUAGCAUCACGCUUCUAUUCCCGAAGGGGUAGGCAGAGGUGUAUAGUAUAUUUAUACACCCACUCCUUGCCAACUACUAUCUAAUAAAAAGAUUUGUAUAGGUGUAUUGAUGAAGAUGUUGGAUGCAAUUAACUUAUAUUUCCAUAUUAUAGUAAGAAUUGGGAACAAUAUUAUAUUUGUAGUAUGUUCUAAUUGAUUACAUUUCUUUGAUCCACCCGCAGGGCUUUUUUGAUUAUACUAUUACACAUUACAAAUAGUCUAGUCCCCAUAAGGCCCCGCAAGCUUGUAUUUAUACAAAAUAAAUGGAUUUAUUUAUUACAAGUUAAAGAUAGAUGGAUAAACUACUUUAUUAAGCACAAUGGACACAAGAUUAGAAAAAUGUAUCUACUUGAGAGAUAGGUUGGUUAAUGAGAGGGGUGCAAUGAAACAAAUUAUGUAAUAACACAAAAUAAAUAAAUCUGCGUAAUGAAAAUAGUUUAUUUGAUGCCAAUAAAGAAAGGUUUGUUUA